UACAGAGACUGCAAGCGUUAUUCGGAUUCACUGGGCGUAAAGGGUGCGCAGGCGGCCGUGUGUGUCAGGUGUGAAAGCCCGGGGCUUAACCCCGGAAUUGCGCCUGAAACUACAUGGCUAGAGCAUUGGAGAGGGUAGCGGAAUUCACGGUGUAGCAGUGAAAUUCGUAGAUAUCGGGAGGAACACCGGUGGCGAAGGCGGCGACCUGGGUAGAUACUGACGCUGAGGCGCGAAAGCGUGGGGAGCAAACAGG
rnacentral:rRNA from 1 species